CAGGAGAAGAAGGGAUCAAAUCAAACUUGAUUGCUUUCAAUCUCUAUAUGGAGCAGCUUGUCAACUUUAUAAUACGUCCUCCUAGGGCUGAGUACAAUCCAAAACAUGACUUGUUGGAUCAGGAGUUUAUACUGAAAGGGAAAUGGUACCAAAGAAAGGAUUUGGAGAUUAAAAAUAGCCGGGGGGAUAUUCUUCAAUGCAGUCAUUACGUACCCAUCGUUACUCCCGAAGGAAAGCCACUGCCAUGCGUAAUAUACUGUCAUGGAAACAGUGGGUGCAGGGCUGA
rnacentral:misc_RNA from 1 species